GGCAGGAGUGGCGCCGCUGGGAUGGAGAGGUGGCCGGGCGCGCCGAGUGCCCCAGCUGCGCAGCUGGACGCUGGGCGCUGGAGCGGCGAGGGAACACUUUGUCCUCGCUCUGUCUGCCGGCCUCCCCCGACCGCCGAUGGAGCGGUGGAGACGGGGCCUGAGCGGGGAGGGGGGCGCAGAUGUCCUGAAACAAAGCUUGGGCUCGCUCCUGUCCGCCGGUGAGCCUCAGGGCACCCAGAGAAGUGAAUUCUGCCAUCGCGGCGCUCUUGUCAGUUUUCCCACCUUCCCUUUUCUAACAGGCUGUUUGUGGGCUUCUUUUGGCUCUUGGGAAAUAACUACUUACAGCGUUGUUAGCAGGAGCUGCGUGUUCCUGCUCCGUCCUGGGUAGUUUCACCCGGAGGAGGGGAUGGUGUCUAAUCUCCUACGCCGUUGUGGAUCACAGACCUCUCCUUUUUGCUAGUGGAAAAUAAUCUUUACGUUUAUGUAACUUGGCGAGCCCCAGAUGAGUGAAAGGGAGGCUUCCCGGUGAGACUUCCAAAUGUAUCCUAGGGGUUACCGUUGCUCCAGUACUUUGAGUUCCGGUGAAGGCAGACAGGAGAACAAAUAGUGUUGGGAACUAGUUGGAGGAGAACUAUUUACAGUUGUCUUUUUGUUGCAAGUUGGGUAUUAGUUAAGCUUUACCCUUUGAAAUAGGAGGAAGCAUCUUUCACUCAGUGUUCUGAAGACCAGGCUAGCAUCAUUGCACCAAAAUUUAUUGUGUGUGGAGAUGGAGAGCGUUAAAUGUACACACUUAACCAAAAAGUUGUGUCUGGCACUGUGAUCUUGUUCUUGUUGGAGGGGAAGGUGCCUAGUGCAGCUUAGCCUGUGCAGUUUUCCACUGGGCAGAUAUUUUCCUACCCUACUAACUUUUCUUCUUUUGAAUCUGCUUCUCAAAGGACUUGAGAUUCCAGAUGGCAAAUUCUAUGAAUGGCAGAAACCCUGGCGGUCGCGGAGGAAACCCCCGGAAAGGACGAAUUUUGGGCAUUAUUGAUGCCAUUCAGGAUGCCGUGGGACCCCCGAAGCAAGCGGCUGCAGAUCGCAGGACUGUGGAGAAAACUUGGAAGCUGAUGGACAAAGUCGUGAGACUGUGCCAAAAUCCCAAACUUCAGUUGAAAAACAGCCCACCGUAUAUUCUUGAUAUUUUGCCUGAUACAUACCAACAUUUGCGACUUAUCUUGAGUAAAUAUGAUGACAACCAGAAACUUGCCCAACUCAGUGAGAAUGAAUAUUUUAAAAUCUACAUUGAUAGUCUAAUGAAAAAAUCAAAACGGGCGAUCAGGCUCUUUAAAGAAGGGAAGGAGCGGAUGUAUGAAGAACAGUCACAAGACAGGCGAAAUCUCACAAAACUGUCGCUUAUCUUCAGUCACAUGCUGGCAGAAAUCAAGGCAAUCUUCCCCAAUGGUCAGUUCCAGGGGGAUAACUUCCGCAUCACAAAAGCAGAUGCUGCUGAAUUCUGGAGGAAGUUUUUUGGAGACAAAACUAUCGUACCGUGGAAAGUGUUCAGACAGUGCCUUCAUGAGGUUCAUCAGAUUAGCUCUGGCUUGGAAGCAAUGGCUUUAAAAUCAACAAUUGAUUUAACUUGCAAUGAUUAUAUUUCAGUUUUUGAAUUUGACAUUUUUACCAGACUGUUUCAGCCUUGGGGCUCUAUUCUACGGAAUUGGAAUUUCUUAGCUGUCACACAUCCCGGUUACAUGGCGUUUCUCACAUACGAUGAAGUCAAAGCACGGCUACAGAAAUACAGCAACAAACCUGGAAGCUACAUUUUCCGGUUAAGCUGUACACGAUUGGGACAGUGGGCCAUUGGCUAUGUGACUGGGGAUGGCAAUAUCUUACAGACAAUACCUCAUAACAAGCCCUUAUUUCAAGCCCUGAUUGAUGGCAGCAGGGAAGGAUUUUAUCUUUAUCCUGAUGGGAGGAGUUAUAAUCCUGAUUUAACUGGACUAUGUGAACCCACACCCCAUGAUCAUAUAAAAGUUACACAGGAACAAUAUGAAUUAUAUUGUGAAAUGGGCUCCACUUUUCAACUCUGUAAAAUUUGUGCAGAGAAUGACAAAGAUGUCAAGAUUGAGCCAUGUGGGCAUUUGAUGUGUACCUCUUGUCUUACAGCAUGGCAGGAAUCUGAUGGCCAGGGAUGCCCCUUCUGUCGUUGUGAAAUAAAAGGAACUGAGCCCAUAAUCGUGGACCCCUUCGAUCCUAGAGAUGAAGGCUCUAGGUGCUGCAGCAUAAUUGACCCUUUUGGCAUGCCAAUGCUCGACUUGGAUGACGAUGAUGACCGAGAGGAGUCCUUGAUGAUGAACAGACUGGCAAAUGUUCGAAAGUGCACAGACAGGCAGAACUCACCAGUCACAUCUCCUGGGUCCUCUCCCCUUGCCCAGAGAAGAAAGCCACAGGCAGAUCCUGUCCAAAUCCCUCAUCUCAGCCUGCCACCAGUGCCUCCUCGCCUGGAUCUGAUUCAGAAAGGCAUAGCCCGAUCGCCCUGUGGCAGCCCAACCGGUUCGCCAAAAUCUUCUCCUUGUAUGGUGAGAAAACAAGAUAAACCACUCCCAGCACCACCUCCUCCCGUAAGAGAUCCUCCUCCACCUCCACCAGAAAGACCUCCGCCAAUCCCACCUGACAAUAGACUGAGCAGACACUUCCAUCAUGUAGAAAGUGUGCCUUGUAGAGACCAGCCUAUGCCUCUUGAAGCCUGGUGCCCUCGAGAUGUGUUUGGGACUAAUCAGUUGGUGGGAUGUCGCAUCCUAGGGGAUGGUUCUCCAAAGCCUGGAAUCACAGCUAGUUCAAAUGUUAAUGGAAGACACAGUAGAGUGGGCUCUGACCCAGUGCUGCUGCGGAAACACAGACGCCAUGAUUUGCCUUUAGAAGGAGCCAAGGUCUUCUCCAAUGGUCACCUUGGAAAUGAAGAAUAUGACGUGCCUCCUCGGCUCUCACCUCCUCCUCCAGUUGCCAACCUUCUCCCUAACGUGAAGUGUACUGGUCCGUUAGCCAAUUCUCUAUCAGAGAAAACAAAAGACAUGGUAGAAGAUGAUGAUGAUGAAUACAAGAUUCCUUCAUCCCAUCCUGUUUCCCUGAAUUCACAAUCAUCUCAUUGUCAUAACGUAAAACCUCCUGUGCGGUCGUGUGAUAAUGGUCAUUGUAUAGUAAAUGGAACACAUGGUACAUCAUCAGAAAUAAAGAAAUCAACCAUCCCUGAAUUAGGCAUCUAUUUAAAAGGAGAUGUUUUUGAUUCAGCCUCUGAGCCAGUGCCAUUACCACCUGCCAGGCCUCCAACUCGGGACAAUCCAAAGCAUGGUUCUGCACUCAACAGGACGCCCUCUGAUUAUGAUCUUCUCGUCCCUCCAUUAGGUGAAGAUGCUUUUGAAGCCCUUCCCCCAUCAUUGCCACCUCCCCCUCCACCAGCAAGACAUAGUCUCAUCGAACCUUCAAAACCUCCUGGCUCUGGUAGCCGACCGUCCUCAGGACACGACCUUUUCCUUCUUCCUUCAGAUCCAUUUUUUGAGCCAUCAAGCGGCCAAGUUCCUUUGCCCCCUGCCAGGAGAUUACCAGGUGAAAAUGUCAAAUCCAACAGAACAUCGCAGGACUAUGACCAGCUUCCUUCAUCUUCAGAUGGUCCACAAGCACCAGCCAGACCCCCUAAACCACGGCCCCGCAGGACUGCACCGGAAAUUCACCACAGAAAACCCCAUGGGCCUGAGGCAGCAAUGGAAAGUGUUGAUGCAAAAAUCGCAAAACUCAUGGGAGAGGGUUAUGCCUUUGAAGAGGUGAAGAGAGCCUUGGAGAUUGCCCAGAAUAAUGUGGAAGUGGCCCGCAGCAUCCUCCGAGAAUUUGCCUUCCCUCCUCCGGUCUCCCCACGUCUCAAUCUAUAGCAGCCAGGAGUGGAGUCACCAAAAUGAAGAGCAAUUGACAGAUAAUUCCUGGAGUAGGGAAGAGAGAAGACCGAUAUGGAGCUCACGUGUGAAGGUGUGCAUACGCACACGGCACCAGGGGCGCGCUCCUGCUUGGAGUGGAACUUCGCAGAGCCCAGCUGUUUGCUCAGGAUGUCCACGGCCGCUGCAGCUUCCUUGUUUUUGCUAGCCAUACUUUGAAAUCAGGGUUGAACUGACAAAUAAUUUAAAAACGUUUACUUCCCUUGAACUUUGAAUCUGUGAAAUGCUUUUCCUUGUUUACAAGUUAGCAAAGUUGCAGUUUGUGUGUGGUUUUGUUUUCUGAUACCUGUACUGUGUCCUGGACAAGCCUUUUGUAGAAUAGUCAGGUCUGCUGUAACGUCACCCACCAGCCCUCUCACUCUCCAUGGAACAGGUGCAUCUCCUGUUUGUUUCCUGCCAAUCAUGCCCUCCAUCCCAGGUCCAGUUCCAUUUCUGUCAUUUAUAAAAUGCUUUAAGGUUCUGAUUUUCAACAUAUCAAACUAAUGCAAAAAAAGAAAAACAGAAGUGUGUGUUCUUCACUACUGAGACUUUUCCUUGGAAACCAUCAUGAGAGAUGGGAAAAUCUGAAUGUAUAAAACAUUUAUUUGUCAAUAAACUGCCUUUUACAAGGGGAUUUUACAUAACAUAGAGGAGCUUCCCUUUUAAGUGUGAGCUUCAUGACCUUAAAUCUUCGCUGUUCUCAUUGCUGUCAUCCAAGGGGUAUAAAAAUCUAAAAUGUAAGACAGCAACGACCGCAGAUGAUGCAGAAAUAAACUCACUCUCAUAGGACAGUGCUACCGUGACAGUGCAUAAUGAGAUCUCACAGCACGUGUGCCUGUGUUACUUCAAGGCAAGCAGAGCAGGAAGGCCAUCCCCAGACACGUAUUAAUAACUUCUAGAUAAAAUUAUGGACAUGGGUGUCCCAGCGUGCACUGGAGUUCACUUCCUCUGCCAGUGAUUACACUCUGAUCCCAAGAGCUGCAUGAGCGGUUCCUAUUGCAGUAGAAAUGUUAAAUCUGCACCAAGUGCCACAGCACUUCAGAGUUCUUAGUAAUUUUCCCUCUGGUGAAGUCAGGGUUCAUAUUUAAUCUGUAGAGUGUCUCACUCAUUGCCUAAGAGGGUAGUCAUUAUUGUGAAAAAAAAAAGGAUUUUUUCAGGAAUCAUGUCAUUGUUUAGAUGAAUCUAUAAGUGUUUUUGGGCAAAAGUUGUGUGCUUGGCACUGUGAAGCCCUGUAUUUUAAGGCACAAUUUCUCCUAAGCCAUUUUAUUCUUUGUCUUUUUGAUGACAAAAUUCUGCUGCAUAAAACCUUACAAAUUUCCACAAUAGCUUUAGGAUUUUCCAGAACCCUGCUUCUUUUGUACCUGAAAAAUGAUUGGAAAUCCAAACCAGGCUGUCUUAGUAAAAGGUAGGAAUCCAGGUUUUAUAAAUAUGGAACAACUGGGUAUGUGCCACAUCUUUUUUUUUUAACAGAUUUAUUUAUUCAUUUGUUUGAAAGAGUGUAUGUGGGAGAGAGGGUGUGAGACAGAGAUCUGCAUUUCAGUAGCUGGAUGUGUGCCCCAGGUGGAAGCCAGGAAUCAGAAAUCCAUCCAGAUCUGCACUGGAGGUGGCGAGGACCUGUGUGGUUGACCUUCUCUGGCCUCCUAGGAUGCUGUGCUCCGGGAAGCUCAUCGGAGGCAAAGGCAGUGUUUGAUCCUGGACACUCAGUGUAGGAUAUAGUUAAACAGUAACUGCUUAACCACUGCCAUGCCAGGCCUUCCUCAAAUACACCUUUAACUUAACACACAGUGUCACAGAGAAGAUGCAUCAGCCCCUGAGUCUCCAUGGAAAAGCACAACCAUACAUCUGAUAAAUGCCAUAGAAGUUAAUGUUCUUCAAAAGUUAUGCAGAUGGCCAAGUUGCCCUCACAAAGAGCGACUAGCACAUUCCAAUGCAAGUGAUACAUGCCCUUUCUUAAAGCUUGGCUUCCAUAGUGUGAGCUGUAAGAAGUCCUGGGCCUCAGACUGUUUGUGCUCUUGCAUAUGCAUUUCUUCAUGUCACUCUCAGCUGACUCAUUCUUUAAGGGAAAUUUUUUACUUACCAUAGUUGUUCUUCCUAUGAGUAGUUAUGUGAAUAGAUUUUUUUUCUACUUAAAAUUGGUUAGCUUAUUCUCUUUUGCUUUAUGAACUCUGUGUUAUAUCCUGAUGUUUGUAUAUCUUGUGAAUUUCUGAUGUCGCAUUGGAAUAGCAGUGUAUGUUUGGCCUUUUGAGGACUCACUGACAGUCCACCAGCCAGAGGUACAACUUUUUGUGUGAUACAUUGAUAGAGCAUUCUUCACUGAAUGCAGAAUGAUGUAAAAGUAGAAUGUUAGGAAACAUAGUUUGUUUUCAUUUAAUUUUCAGAUAGCCAAGUGAAGAUUUCCAAUGAGAAUUUCAAAAGACAAGACGGGAUGAUAUAAUAAAUUUGGUCCUAAAAGUUUAGGAACUACCAGUUCAGCAAACAAAGCUUACCCAUGUUACUCAAACCCUCUCUGUUGUCUUAUACAUAGCCUAUAGAAAUUAUUGGUUUUAUCAUUUUUAAAAAAAUAAAUCAACUCAUAUGGAGUGGAUUGGAAACAACUUGUUCUAUAAAACACUUCAAUGAAAAAAAAAAAAACAUUGCUACUGAUUGCCUGUGACAUCACACUCAAAAAGACAUGAGGAAGUAAUUAAACUAAAAUACUUUCUCAUGAUAACUAUAAUAACCUGUAAAUGUUUAGAAAUAGCCCAAACUUUAUGAUCAAAAAAGUUAAAUAUUCAUUUAAUUUCUCAAGAUUCGGAAACAUGUCUGUGCCAGUGUUUCAUAUAGAGGAAGAGAGGAGCAAAUCAUAGCUAUCAUCAACCCGUCCCUGUCCAAACAUGUCUCAGAAGAUCAUAUUCGGUGAUGUUCUAGGAGUAGUAUCUCCAUAAUCUGCUGUGGUCUCCUGAUAACUGAUCCAGGCUAGCUGAACUUUAUAGAAUAAAAUCAAAGCAGUUGACACUUGAACUCUCUUCCACACACAAGACCUGCAGCUAUUUCUGUCCGUUUUCCCUAGUCCACAUGCGAACAGUCUUUAUCAGAGAUCCUUAAAUACAAGUGCAUACGCUCCCUUUGUUAUCUCUGUAUUUCACACCAAGAACACUUACGAGAUUUUUCAUAAUGUGAAUUUUUACAUUUUCAGUUAUAGAAGCAUUUCCUACAGUUUGGACAUUAUUCUUCCUCUAGGUUUUUCAACCUGAAGCUUUUUUUUGCACUGACUUUUCUAACCUGAAUAAAUUUUUAAUUUCUAUAUUAACUGACAGAUAUGGAAGCAACUCACAGCCUGAUUUAAAUGAUGAAAGAUGCCUGUUAAAUACCUGGAAUUUUAGUGCUUCUAGAAACAGUGUCCAGAAAACACAGCAACAGAGUGAAGGGUUUUCUUCUCAAUUACUAUUUUAUUGUGUGUUUCUUUAAUGAAUUUUUUAAACUUGUUUAAUGUGGAAAAAAUUGUUAUGUGUUCCAUUAAUUUAUAUUGUGUUCAUUCUUUUUCAGUUCUGGUUAUUAUGUAACCUCAAGUACUUUAUCAGUUCUUUUAAAAUAUUUUAUAAAAUGAUUGUUAAAAUAUGGAGUCGGGGUACUUUAUUUUUUUAAAUGAACACAACCGUGUCACAGCAUUUCUAUGUUGUAAUUUUUCUUCUUGGUGUUGAAGAAAAAGACAUUUGAUUUGUGAGCCAGUUGGACAGAGUGGCACCAAGGCACUCAUCCUAGGUGAUUCAUUUGUCAAAUACUAAAACUAUAAUUUUAUGAUAGUGUAAUAGAUAAAAUUCUCUCUUGUCAUAGAACUGAAUGUCCAAGUUACAUUAGGGUGACAAGUUAGAAAAUGGGGUCUUAGGCGAAAGGCCCCAAGUACAAUGUUUUUCGUCAUAAUUGUUGCAGCUAACCAGUAGUAAAAAUUCUUUAUUUUCCUAAUCCUUUCUUGCUGGCCAGUGUACAGUGGGAAGCUACUGAGAUUUUUUAUUAUUAUUAUUUUUAUUUUAUACCACAAACAAAAUAUUCUAGAAUUAAUUGAUACAUGCACAGAGAUGGUAAUUACUCCCGGAAAGCACAGGAAUAAAAUGAAAUUGGAGCUACAUUUAAGGAAGUGACUUCAGUGCAAUAAAUACUGCAAGUGACCACACUGUACCAGAAUGACGUGUAUGCUUUGGAAAUUGGGAUGAACAGUUCACUCAGGAGAUUUGACAUGUCCUAGUGCUGAAUCAUCAACGCUUUGUCAACUUAAGAGAGAAGCAUAAUUCUUCAGGUUAGGAAAGAACUCCAGGGAGCAAUCCCUUUCCCCCCCAAAAAAAAAAUUGUUUGGGCAAAGGCAAGUGGUGGUAGA